rnacentral:rRNA from 1 species
GACGAACGCUGGCGGCGUGCUUAACACAUGCAAGUCGAACGGAAAGGCCCUGCGUUUGUGGGGUGCUCGAGUGGCGAACGGGUGAGUAACACGUGAGGAACCUGCCCUUGACUUUGGGAUAACUUCAGGAAACUGGGGCUAAUACCGGAUAGGAGCUCCUGCUGCAUGGUGGUGGUUGGAAAGAUUCGGCGGUUGGGGAUGGACUCGCGGCUUAUCAGCUUGUUGGUGGGGUAGUGGCUUACCAAGGCUUUGACGGGUAGCCGGCCUGAGAGGGUGACCGGCCACCUUGGGCCUGCGGUACGGCCCAGACUCCUACGUGAGGCAGUGGUCGGGAAUAUUGCACAAUAGGCCGAAGCCUGAUGCAACAACGCCGCGUGCGGGAUGACGGCCUUCGGGUUGUAAACCGCUUUCGCCUGUGACGAAGCGUGAGUGACGGUAAUGGGUAAAGAAGCACCGGCUAACUACGUG